rnacentral:rRNA from 1 species
GGGCGUGCUAAUCUGCGAUAAGCGCCGGUAAGGUGAUAUGAACCGUUAUAACCGGCGAUACCCGAAUGGGGAAACCCAGUGUGAUUCGUCACACUAUCAUUAACUGAAUCCAUAGGUUAAUGAGGCGAACCGGGGGAACUGAAACAUCUAAGUACCCCGAGGAAAAGAAAUCAACCGAGAUUCCCCCAGUAGCGGCGAGCGAACGGGGAGGAGCCCAGAGCCUGAAUCAGCAUGUGUGUUAGUGGAAGCGUCUGGAAAGGCGCGCGAUACAGGGUGACAGCCCCGUACACAAAAGCGCAUGUGCUGUGAGCUCGAUGAGUAGGGCGGGACACGUGGUAUCCUGUCUGAAUAUGGGGGGACCAUCCUCCAAGGCUAAAUACUCCUGACUGACCGAUAGUGAACCAGUACCGUGAGGGAAAGGCGAAAAGAACCCCGGCGAGGGGAGUGAAAAAGAACCUGAAACCGUGUACGUACAAGCAGUGGGAGCACAGGUUUACCUGUGUGACUGCGUACCUUUUGUAUAAUGGGUCAGCGACUUAUAUUCUGUAGCAAGGUUAACCGAAUAGGGGAGC